AUAUUAAACUUGUUGCAGUUAAAAAGCUCGUAGUUGUAUUUCAGCCUCGCGUUUUUUCCCUGGUUUUGGGUCUUUUCGCUGGCUUUUUUUUUACUUUGAGAAAAUUAGAGUGUUUCAAGCAGACUUUUGUCUUGAAUACUUCAGCAUGGAAUAAUAGAGUAGGACCUUGGUUCUAUUUUGUUGGUUUUGAGCCUUGGUAAUGGUUAAUAGGAACGGUUGGGGGCAUUCGUAUUUAACUGUCAGAGGUGAAAUUCUUAGAUUUGUUAAAGACGAACCACUGCGAAAGCAUUUGCCAAGGACGUUUUCAUUAAUCAAGAACGAAAGUUAGGGGAUCGAAGACGAUCAGAUACCGUCGUAGUCCUAACCAUAAACUAUGCC
rnacentral:rRNA from 1 species